GAUGGUUGAAUUAUUUUACCAUUUUCAAAAACUUGCAGAAUUACCGUGAAAGCAUUGCUUAACGCAAAAUAGGUAUAGACUGAACUAGGCUGGCAGCAUUUGAGAAGAAAACGGUAAAUGUGCUGUACACAUUACGAUUUUCUAUUCGUGUUGUUUCGGUCUAGAUUCAAAAUACAGAGUAAAAUUACUUUUUACCUUCCAAACCUUAGAUAUAUUUUAGGUCAUCUUAUAUAUAUAUAUAUAUCACCAAAUCUAAACGAAUUCUGAAGAAUGACGGGAACUUCACAAACACUCUUGAAACGUGCAGUUGUUUUUAUUUUUGUGAUGUUGUGGAUGGCUGUAGCUGUUGAAUCUAUUUGGGGACGUCGUGUCAAAACGUACAGAUCGUCGUCAAUCUACUUGUAAAGACCGGAAAAGAAAGAUGCCAAUAUAAACUGACAUUCACUUUUUUUAACAUUAAGAAAUGCCUGAUAAAAAUUGAAGAAACAUUUAGUAUUCCUGCACCAACUCAUACUAAAGUUUGUCCAAACUUACAAUCAUGUCAUUAUCAUAUAAUUUCCAAUCUAUAUUGCGUCUGAAUUGCUAAUUGAAAUAAAUGCUUUCUUAUUGUGAA